rnacentral:rRNA from 1 species
AGCAGCCGCGGUAAUUCCAGCUCCAAUAGCGUAUAUUAAAGUUGUUGCAGUUAAAAAGCUCGUAGUUGAAUUUUAGGCCUGGCCGGGCGGUCCGUCUUUGGCGAGUACUGUCCUGUGUCGGGUCCACCUUCUGGUGAACCAGUAUGUCCUUUAUUGGGUGUGCCGGGGAGCCAGGACCAUUACCUUGAAAAAAUUAGAGUGUUUAAAGCAGGCAUUUGCUUGAAUGGAUUAGCAUGGAAUAAUAGAAUAGGACGUUGGUUCUAUUUUGUUGGUCUAGGACCACCGUAAUGAUUAAUAGGGAUAGUUGGGGGCAUUAGUAUUCAAUUGUCAGAGUGAAAUUCUUGGAUUUAUUGAAGACUAACUAUUGCGAAAGCAUUUGCCAAGGAUGUUUUCAUUAAUCAAGAACGAAAGUUAGGGGAUCGAAGACGAUCAGAUACCGUCGUAGUCUUAACCAUAAAACUAUGCCGACUAGGAAUCGGGCGACGUUAUUUUCAUGACUCGCUCGGCGCCUUAU